GUCACUGUGUGUAUUAAUGUGUUACUGUGUGUAUGUGCCACUGUGUAUGUCACUGUGUGUAUCUGUGUCAGUGUGUAUCUGAGUGCAUGCGCCAGUGUGUGUAUCUGAUAGUAUGUGUCACUGUGUGUAUCUGAGUGUCACAGUGUGUUUGUAUUGGUGGGUUAAGGUGUGUGCCUGUGUGUGUUGCAGUGUAUGUGUCACUGUGUGUCAGUGCCAGGUUGUGUAUCUGUGUGUAUGUGCCAGUGUGUCUAUCUGUGGGUCAGUGUGUUUCUGAGUGUCAGUGUGUGUAUCUGUCGGUGUGCGUGUAUCUGUAUGUUAAGGUGUGUGUGUAUCCGAGUGUGUGUGUACGUAUCAGUGUGUUUGUCUGUGUACGUGUAUCUGUGUGUAUCUGUGUGCAUGUCACUGUGUGUAUCUGAGUUUGUGUAUGCACCAGUGUGUAUGUCUGUGUGUAUCUGCGCCAGUGUGUGUAUUUCUGUGUUUAUGAAUGUGUGUAUACGUGAAGUGUAUCUCUGUGUUAAUGUGUAUGUAUAUCUGUGUAAGUAUGUGGCAUACAACCCAGCAAACGCCAACACACCCCUGCAAACACAAACAUUACAUACAAAAACACCCCUGAAUUCAAACCCCAAAAUUAUAUACAAACACUCAAACACAUCCUUCACUCAAACACCAAUACUACACACAUGCAUUUAAAAGUCAACACUACAUCCAAAAAAACCUAAACGCAAAUGCAAUCAUUAUAUACAAAACACACCCCUGUAUUAAAAUGCUAAAAUUAUAUACAAACACCAACUCUACACACAAAGGCACACCUGCUCCCAAUUACUACAAACUGUUUACCAUCUGUGGAAAUUAGUGUGUGUGUAUAUAUAGUAAAAAAAAAAAAAAAUUUUGCUAAUUGAAAAGGUUUUGGGGGAAAGGGACAGGCAGAUAUUGCAGGUUCUGUGCAUUAUAUCCAACAAGUGUCGCUAUCUGACUUUUUAACGGUUUUGUUUUUGUAUUGGUUAUUAUUAUUAUUUUUUUUAUAACAAAUGGUAAAUGGCAAAAUAUCUGUUAAAUUUAAAUUUGCAAAUGAUAAAUAAAAACAAAUGUAAAAUCUGCUGGUAG